rnacentral:rRNA from 1 species
UACGUAGGGGGCAAGCGUUGUCCGGAUUUAUUGGCGUAAAGGAGCGUGUAGGCGGCCAGGUAGGUCAGCUGUGAAAACUCGAGGCUCAACCUCGAGACGUCGGUUGAAACCACCUGGCUUAGAGUCCGGAAGAGGGAGAGUGGAAUUCCGUGGAUCGUAGGACGGUGAAAUGCGCAGAUAUCAGGAAGAACACCCGUGGCGAAGGCGGCGUCUCUGGGACGGUACUGACGCUGAGACGCGAAAGCGUGGGGAGCGAACAGG